CCCCUUUGUUUCCGUGUUUGUAGAGGCGGCAGCGUGUUUUCCGGCGCUGCAGUGGCCGUAGUGGAGAGCAUUUGCCUUGGAGGCUUCCUUGUGCCCUAUUGUUAUGAUGGGAUACAGCUCUGACUAAACCGGUGCCUGUGUGUGUUUUCGCUACAAAGACCUGAAUGGUAAGUGGUUUAACUUGCCUUUUACUGAGAGUUAGAAGCGUAUAUGUUGUUAAUGUUUCCUCUCUUGUGUUUGUCAUAGGAGACUCCCUCUCGUUGCUAUUGUCGUGUUGGCUAUUGCUAAUUGAGUGGUGCUGCUAGCGCUGUUCGUUUUUAGGGCUGGGAAGAUACAGCUGCUAACCGUGUGAGAAGCUAAGGUUGCUAAUUGCUGAUAGCGAAGACGCUGCCUUUAAUCUCGCGCCAGUGUUGCCGUGAAUAAUGUAGAGAGGGGACUGUUUAUCUGUCUGGUGUCGUGUUGCUUUGUCGCCCUGUCGAACGUAUGGUUUAUUCGUUGUUUCUUUUUCUUUUUGUUUCCUUUUGGCUAAGUACUUUAAGUUUUCUUGGCCUACUUAAGUGUAUUUGGUUUAUUGUUAUUUUGGUUUUAUUAAUUG